CAGUCGUACUUACGGGUAAUCAGCCUUUUGGGUGUGAUUUUGUGGAGCGUGAGGAGUUAAACGCCUUCAUGCCUGCAUAUUCGUGCACUUUGGGUGUACUUGCCCGUGUGUAAGUUAACAUCAAUUUUGGUCAUCAUAAAAUGGCUGGAGGAAUGUAGCUUCGGUCUCGUAUUGAAGUGUUAUAGCCUUCGGUAGAUGUGAUGAUCGGGAUUGAGGAUUGCAACGGAUACCCUUCGGGGCUACCUGUCUGGUCUCUGAUCGUUGCUCUGGUCGCCGAAGCUUGUCUUACGGUUAUCAAGUCGAAGGUCAAGUA
rnacentral:rRNA from 1 species